rnacentral:ribozyme from 1 species
CCCACUCAAUGGCCUGCACCUUGACGUGGUGAGUGGGCUUUCUACUAAGAUGGGC